CAGUCGCCACGGUAAAACGUAGGGAGCAAGCGUUGUUCGGAUUUACUGGGCGUAAAGGGCGCGUAGGCGGCGCGGUAAGUCACUUGUGAAAUCUCUGAGCUUAACUCAGAACGGCCAAGUGAUACUGCUGUGCUAGAGUGCGGAAGAGGCAACCGGAAUUCUUGGUGUAGCGGUGAAAUGCGUAGAGAUCGGAAGGAACAUCUGUGGCGAAGGCGACUAUCUGGGCCAACACUGACACUGAGGCACGAAAGCGUGGGGAGCAAACAGGAUUAGAUACCCCCGUAGUCCCUGUCUCUUAUAC
rnacentral:rRNA from 1 species